rnacentral:rRNA from 1 species
GACGAACGCUGGCGGCGUGCUUAACACAUGCAAGUCGAACGCUGAAGCUUGGUGCUUGCACUGGGUGGAUGAGUGGCGAACGGGUGAGUAAUACGUGAGUAACCUGCCCUUGACUCUGGGAUAAGCCUGGGAAACUGGGUCUAAUACUGGAUACGACAUGUCACCGCAUGGUGGUGUGUGGAAAGGGUUUUACUGGUUUUGGAUGGGCUCACGGCCUAUCAGCUUGUUGGUGGGGUAAUGGCUCACCAAGGCGACGACGGGUAGCCGGCCUGAGAGGGUGACCGGCCACACUGGGACUGAGACACGGCCCAGACUCCUACGGGAGGCAGCAGUGGGGAAUAUUGCACAAUGGGCGGAAGCCUGAUGCAGCGACGCCGCGUGAGGGAUGACGGCCUUCGGGUUGUAAACCUCUUUCAGCACGGAAGAAGCGAAAGUGACGGUACGUGCAGAAGAAGCGCCGGCUAACUACGUGC